UUGGCUUCGUGACAGGACGGUCGCCGACAUGCAGAAAGACAAGCGAUGGCUUCAGCGUCGCCAUGCUGUAUAUUGGCGUGGAGCACUCUACGUACAUUGCGAAAAGGAUUUUGUUAUGAGGAUAUCACUGUCAAAAGAUACAUACCGAAUAAUUCAUCCACCACAUGGUAUUGAAAUAUUCGAGUACUCGGAGCUCCUUCUAGGAAAGUCUGAAAAGGGAGUUUACUGUGCCCUAAUUGGUGAUGAAUGCCAGCUUCUGGUUUGGAUCCUUGACGAAUCGCGCAGCCGAACCGAACGGAGUGGGUGCUAAAGCAUGACAGCGGUUGUGGGCUUGCAGCUGCACAACCAAGCCUAAACUAUGUUGCACAGCAAGUUAACGGACCCUGGAUCUUGGAAAACACUAACCGUCGCGAAGGCGACAACAUCGAAGCACCAGCUGAACAGGAGUCUGAAUGGAACUCAGAUGACGAAGAUGUUCUCAACAACCAAGAUAGUAGGGUUGAAAAUCACCAGUACAAAAGUUUUGACAUCCUUGGGUUCCAUCCUUACAAAGAAAUUAUCUUCUUGCAUAUGUCGCUGAGCAUAGGAUUGGCUUAUCACCUGAAUACCUCGAAACUGGAAAGCUUGGGUAAUAUAUGCCCAAUACAUUACUAUAAUAGAGCCAUACAUUGCUUUAUACAAUCAUGUUUUCCAUACACACCUUGUACAAUGGGAGGGUUCCCAGGCAGCUGUAGCUCCUAGGUAUAAUGAGUGAUCGUAUGACAACAUUCUUUUCCUAAUGGCAUUAUAUAUGAAAACAUGUUCGUUUUGUUGAGAACGGCUCUUAAAUGAUUGAUCAUCCAUAUGGAAAUUUUGUAG